UCUGGCAGUGAUGAUGCUCUUGCCCUCACUGAGACUCUGAGUCUAUAAUGAGAACUUUUAUUGGAAGGACUCGUUGCCUCUGAGCCAGA
ensembl:snoRNA